rnacentral:tRNA from 1 species
UGGAGUAUGGCGGAAUUUGGCAGACGCACUACCCUGUUUAGGUAGCGACUUCGCGGUCAUGGAGGUUCGAGCCCUUCUGCUCCAG